rnacentral:lncRNA from 1 species
AUAGCAUAAUAAAAAUCUAAUUUUUCUAGACAAAGUAUCCUUAGUAAAAUUACAAACUGGUAAUUUUUUAUGUUUAUUUAUUUAUUUUGAGAGAGAGAGAGAGAGAGAGAGAGAGAGAAUGUGAGCAUGAGUGAGGGAGGGGCAGAGAGAGAGAAGGAGAGAGAGAAUUCCAAGCAUGUUCUGUGCUGUCAGUGCAGGGACUAUGAGAUCAUGACCUGAGCUGAGAUCAAGAGCGGGACACAACCAACUGAGCCAUUCAAGUGCCCCUACAAAUGCUAAUUUUUAUAAUUAUCAUUACUGAAUUUAUGCUGAAAAAUAUUCAGGUUGGAAAUGUUUGAGAGCUGAAGGAAACCUGUAGCUCUGAUUAGAAUGAACUUAGAUUAUACAGAAGGCCUGCCCUACAAUUAUACAUGUGCCGACAUUAAAACUCAGAGAAGCAGCAGCCCAUGGUACAAGGACUAAGUGGAAGCUUAAUAUAAUAUAAUAUAAUGGAAACCAUAUGGUGCAUGGGCAGGCAGCCCCUUGCCGUGGAUACUACGUUGUUCUCACCACAUUAAUGUACACACUGAAGACCAACCAAGGGAGUUGCUGUUGUUGUGACCUGUUACAACUCCAAAGGAAAAUAAAAAGCAGCAUCAUUCCACCACAUUUACCCAGAUGGCUGUGGGGAUGGAAGCAUAAGACCAUCACAACCCUCGCCACCCCAAGAAGAAGCUUGUCUGCUUCUUCUCCAGAGCUCAGCGGCCACCGCAUCUUUAUGCAAAAGGGUAAAUGUCAUCAUAAAGAGGAACGAGCAAGAUGUGAACACCAGGUGGACAGAAUGUUCACUGUGGGCUUAUCAGCCCUAAGAGCCGCAGAUAACUGGAGGUGA